UGGGGAAUCUUGCACAAUGGGGGAAACCCUGAUGGAGCAACGCCGCGUGCAGGAUGAAGGCCUUCGGGUCGUAAACUGCUUUUAUGGGUGAAUAAUAUGAAUGUAACCCUUGAAUAAGCACCGGCUAACUACGUGCCAGCAGCCGCGGUCAUACGUAGGGUGCAAGCAUUAUCCGGAGUGACUGGGCGUAAAGAGUUGCGUAGGUGGUUUGUUUAGUGAAUAGUGAAAUCUGGUGGCUCAACCAUACAGACUAUUAUUCAAACUGACAAACUCGAGAGUAGCAGAGGUAACUGGAAUUUCUAGUGUAGGAGUGAAAUCCGUAGAUAUUAGAAGGAACACCAAUGGCGUAGGCAAGUUACUGGGCUAUUUCUGACACUGAGGCACGAAAGCGUGGGGAGCGAACC
rnacentral:rRNA from 1 species